rnacentral:rRNA from 1 species
GCAGGUCGAGCGAAAUGGAUUAAGAGCUUGCUCUUAUGAAGUUAGCGGCGGAGGGAGAAUAACACGUGGGUAACCUGCCCAUAAGACUGGGACCUUUCCGGGAAACCGGGGCUAAUACCGGAUAACAUUUUGAACCGCAUGGUUCGAAAUUGAAAGGCGGCUUCGGCUGUCACUUAUGGAUGGACCCGCGUCGCAUUAGCUAGUUGGUGAGGUAACGGCUCACCAAGGCAACGAUGCGUACCCGACCUGAGAGGGUGAUCGGCCACACUGGGACUGAGACACGGCCCAGACUCCUACGGGACGCACCACCAGGGAAUCUUCCGCAAUGGACGAAAGUCUGAGGGAGCAACGCCGCGUGAGUGAUGAAGGCUUUCGGGUCGUAAAACUCUGUUGUUAGGGAAGAACAAGUGCUAGUUGAAUAACCCGCCCCCCUUGACGGUACCUAACCAGAAAGCCACGGCUAACUACGUGCCAACAGCCGCGGUAAUACGUAGGU